UGGGGAAUAUUGGACAAUGGGCGCAAGCCUGAUCCAGCAAUGCCGCGUGUGUGAAGAAGGCCUUCGGGUUGUAAAGCACUUUUAUCAGGAGCGAAACGCUGUCGGCUAAUACCCGGCGGAACUGACGGUACCUGAGGAAUAAGCACCGGCUAACUUCGUGCCAGCAGCCGCGGUAAUACGAAGGGUGCAAGCGUUAAUCGGAAUUACUGGGCGUAAAGCGUGCGUAGGCGGUUUCUUAAGUCUGCUGUGAAAUCCCCGGGCUCAACCUGGGAAUGGCAGUGGAUACUGGGAGGCUAGAGUGUGUCAGAGGGUGGUGGAAUUCCCGGUGUAGCGGUGAAAUGCGUAGAGAUCGGGAGGAACAUCAGUGGCGAAGGCGGCCACCUGGGACAACACUGACGCUGAGGCACGAAAGCGUGGGGAGCAAACAGGAUUAGAUACCCUGGUAGUCCACGCCCUAAACGAUGCGAACUGGAUGUUGGUCUCAACUCGGAGAUCAGUGUCGAAGCUAACGCGUUAAGUUCACCGCCUGGGGAGUACGGUCGCAAGAUU
rnacentral:rRNA from 1 species